ACCAAUUCUGGGGGAAAAUUCAGUUCCUCUAUGGUAUAAUGGCUUGGGCGCCAUAGUUAGAGUUGUGGCUUAUCCUGGUUUUUGUAUUCAUCUACAUGACAUUACACCCCGGAAAAACCUCGUAAAUUU
rnacentral:snoRNA from 1 species